GAUGAACGCUGGCGGCGUGCCUAAUACAUGCAAGUCGAGCGAAUGGAUUAAGAGCUUGCUCUUAUGAAGUUAGCGGCGGACGGGUGAGUAACACGCGGGUAACCUGCCCAUAAGACUGGGAUAACUCCGGGAAACCGGGGCUAAUGCCGGAUGACAUUUUGAACCGCAUGGUUCGAAAUUGAAAGGCGGCUUCGGCUGUCACUUAUGGAUGGACCCGCGUCGCAUUAGCUAGUUGGUGAGGUAACGGCUCACCAAGGCAACGAUGCGUAGCCGACCUGAGAGGGUGAUCGGCCACACUGGGACUGAGACACGGCCCAGACUCCUACGGGAGGCAGCAGUAGGGAAUCUUCCGCAAUGGACGAAAGUCUGACGGAGCAACGCCGCGUGAGUGACGAAGGCUUUCGGGUCGUAAAACUCCGUUGUUAGGGAAGAACAAGUGCUAGUUGAAUAAGCUGACACCUUGACGGUACCUAACCAGAAAGCCACGGCUAACUACGUGCCAGCAGCCGCGGUAA
rnacentral:rRNA from 1 species